UACGUAGGGUGCGAGCGUUGUCCGGAAUUAUUGGGCGUAAAGAGCUCGUAGGCGGUCUGUCGCGUCUGCUGUGAAAUCCCGGGGCUCAACUCCGGGCUUGCAGUGGAUACGGGCAGACUAGAGUUCGGUAGGGGAGACUGGAAUUCCUGGUGUAGCGGUGAAAUGCGCAGAUAUCAGGAGGAACACCGGUGGCGAAGGCGGGUCUCUGGGCAUUAACUGACGCUGAGGAGCGAAAGCAUGGGGAGCGAACAGG
rnacentral:rRNA from 1 species